AAUAGUUUCUUCUCUCGUCAGAUGACGCCGGCGGUGUGCCUAAUACAUGCAAGUCGAACGCGUUGGCCCAAUUGAUUGAUGGUGCUUGCACCUGAUUGAUUUUGGUCGCCAACGAGUGGCGGACGGGUGAGUAACACGUAGGUAACCUGCCCAGAAGCGGGGGACAACAUUUGGAAACAGAUGCUAAUACCGCAUAACAGCGUUGUUCGCAUGAACAACGCUUAAAAGAUGGCUUCUCGCUAUCACUUCUGGAUGGACCUGCGGUGCAUUAGCUUGUUGGUGGGGUAACGGCCUACCAAGGCGAUGAUGCAUAGCCGAGUUGAGAGACUGAUCGGCCACAAUGGGACUGAGACACGGCCCAUACUCCUACGGGAGGCAGCAGUAGGGAAUCUUCCACAAUGGGCGCAAGCCUGAUGGAGCAACACCGCGUGAGUGAAGAAGGGUUUCGGCUCGUAAAGCUCUGUUGUUAAAGAAGAACACGUAUGAGAGUAACUGUUCAUACGUUGACGGUAUUUAACCAGAAAGUCACGGCUAACUACGUGCCAGCAGCCGCGGUAAUACGUAGGUGGCAAGCGUUAUCCGGAUUUAUUGGGCGUAAAGAGAGUGCAGGCGGUUUUCUAAGUCUGAUGUGAAAGCCUUCGGCUUAACCGGAGAAGUGCAUCGGAAACUGGAUAACUUGAGUGCAGAAGAGGGUAGUGGAACUCCAUGUGUAGCGGUGGAAUGCGUAGAUAUAUGGAAGAACACCAGUGGCGAAGGCGGCUACCUGGUCUGCAACUGACGCUGAGACUCGAAAGCAUGGGUAGCGAACAGGAUUAGAUACCCUGGUAGUCCAUGCCGUAAACGAUGAGUGCUAGGUGUUGGAGGGUUUCCGCCCUUCAGUGCCGGAGCUAACGCAUAAGCACUCCGCCUGGGAGACGCCGACUGG
rnacentral:rRNA from 1 species